rnacentral:tRNA from 1 species
GCGGAUGUGGUGAAGUGGUUAACACACCAGUUUGUGGCACUGGCAUUCGUGAGUUCGAUUCUCAUCAUCCGCC